AGUUGGCUAGUACCGAUCCACACUCAUGGCUGCGUUUCUAUUUGAACGAUGAGUUCAGUCGUCUGCGGCGUGUGUACACGCUGCGAACAGAGCGCCAAAUUCGUUGGAGGGGAUAUAUUGCGCUUAUUGGUGGCACUAAAACGGUGUGGUUGACGUAAAAAUGCUACCUCUCCUUCCACCGUUAGCAACAACUGUAGCCUCACGUCGCUUUGAUUACGAAUGUGUGCGAAUGUUCUUUCUGUUAUUCGUUCAAGAUUUUUUUGUCAUACAACUUGAACUCGGUAUUUUUGGUGUGUAUAUUUACAUAGCGCAUACACCAUACUGAUUGUAUGCAGCACAUGAGAAUGAAGCAAGAAGGCAUUGCAAUUGCGAACUAAGGAACUUGACUUAUGUAUGCAGUUAAAUUUAGAAAAAAUCGGGAGGGUAGAAAAAUUACAGAUCCUGCGACGACGAGAAGACGAGCAUCCGGCCGACGUUGGUUUUGUAAUGGAUAUACAUAUCUUGCACCAAGAAGGGAAUACUCCUAAUGAUUGUAGUGCUUCUAUCGGUUACGCUGCAGUUAUUAUGAAGACAUCUGGAUUUAGUCUCCCUACUCAAUUAAGUUUUAUAUUUGUAUGUAUUCACUUUAUUGUAUGUGGUUAUAAACGUAAGUGAUUUUAAUAAAGCGGAUUUUAU
rnacentral:misc_RNA from 1 species